CUUUUGUCCAUUGGACAAAAGCACGCACUCAGCACGCAUGCUCCCGAUGCAUUGUCCUGCUAGAGCAAAAAAACACACGCCUUCUACUACCACCUUCUCUUGCCGUGUUUAAUCCGUCCCCGCUCCGGAACAACCGAUGGCCAUGGAGUUCUUCAGUGAUUCCGCUUGCGAGGAUUGUUGAUGCUGGUUUCUGAUCUUGCUGCGUGCUCCUCGCUCAUCUGUUGGUUGGAAUGCUUGCUCAGCUUCAACCGGCAAUAGGAGGGGCUCGGUAGCGCUUUUCGGGAUCGGAUCUUUGCUCUUCAGCCUGUUCCUCUGCUUCCUUCUGCCAUUGUGAGAUGGGUGACUGCUUGAUAUCUCAGCUCGAGCUAGGCGGCAGCAAAAGUUGCCACUGUAUUCGCUUGUCCCGUAUGUGGAAGUUCUGCGAUGCAAGUGAUGAAACAAAACUGCUGCACAAGGCUUUGGUCUUAGUUGAUGAGACGGGGAAUAGCAUAUCUGCUCAGAUUUUCCCCGAUAUCAAUGAGAUUUUUGAGCCAUUGUUGACUGAAGGAAAAAUCUACUAUCUGGCAUACUAUAGAGUCAAGCCACGUAACAAAAUCUACAGGCCAGUUGCAAACAAGUUUGCUAUCUCCCUCACAAAAUGGACAAAAGUUGAAGAAUAUUUGGAGCCGCCAUCCAGCUUUCCUUCAUAUGUCUACACACUGAAAAGCUUCAAUGAGUUCCCAUCACUUGUGGACAAAAAGGAUUCAUUCAUUGAUACUAUUGGGGUGAUCACUGAGAUUACAUCUAUAACAUCUGUUCGUUCGUGCACAAGGAAUGCUGAUAGCCUGAAGCGCAACGUUCACAUGCGCGAUGCAAAGUUAGAUUUAUCUGCUUCUUACAAAUAUAUUGCUUUGCUUAUUUUAUACAUUUCUGACAUGACAUGCUUCUGAACCUGACAUGUUUACUAACCUGAUAACCACUCCCACACAACAUAAUUAAACAACUCUUACUACCCUAUUUUACUAGCAAUGAUACUAUCCACAUCUCGCUCUGGGGAGACCGUGCUACUGAAUUUCCUGCAGAAGAAGUAUUUGCAAAAGGGCAAAGGAACCACAAAUAGUUAUAUUUGUUGGGACACUUGUCAAGGGUUUCAGAAGGGAGGUCUACCUAUCAGGAAACAAUGCAUGCAAAUGGUACAUCAACAUUGGCUGUGAUGAAAUACAGAGUUUCAGAGAUAGCAUGAAAGACAAGCAUGAACCUGUCAAGUGGCUUGAUUUGCCUCCAUUGAACGCGAUCCGUGCUACAGCUGAACAAAAGACAAUUGUUGAGAUCAAAGAUCUAAAUCCUUUCGAAUACAAGAAGAACGAGUUCAUCGUCACAGUUACUAUCAAGAAAAUAGAUGGCCCUUGGUGGUACAAUGCAUGUGACAAGUGCAAGAGGACAGCAAAACCAUAUGGUUACCUCUAUCGUUGCUUUGGCGAUGACUGCCCACCAACUGUGCCUGCUUCCCCAAGGUUCAAACUUAGUCUCAUAGCUUACUAGAUGACAUCUGAUACAAAGUUUAUUCUUUUCGGACAUAUGGCACAAAAGCUGAUAGGCAAAUCAGUUGAUAUCUUACUAGAUGACAACCCUGCUGGUGAGGAGUUCGAGCCAAAGGAAAUCGCAGGGCUCCUGGAAAAGGAAUUCACAUUCAAUGUUAGCUUAACAGAGACAACUCUGUCAACUGGAAAUGUUUGUUUCCAGGUCAACAACAUUCUCACUGGAGAUGGCCCACAGAAUCAGCUUUUACUCAUGUCUCCUUCACCAUCACAGGUAUCUGCUAGGCACCCUAUAUUAGCAAUGUCUCCGGCUACCUCUGAAGGAUUUUCUAUCGGCCAAGAAUCAAUUCCAGAUACUCCUUCUGCUGGAAUCAGUGGCCCUAUGGUUACUCCAACAAAAGGAAUUGAUGUUAUCUCUGAGUGUUCAUCAAAAAAGGGGGAAACCAAAGCCUCCGCAAUAGUAAAGGAUGAGGAAGACAAUGCAACGCUUGCAACGCUAAAAGCUGCUGGUCUAGGUGCAGCCCAGAGCACUUCCAAAGGAACAAAGAAGAGGACAAGAGCCUCACCUGGAAGCACUGAAGCCAGGAAACUCUUCAGAAAUGAUAAUGAUGAGCAACAGGAAACAGGUGCCCAGGAGUCCACUUAGAUUUCCAUGGGAUGGAGCAUACACAGUUGCAGCUGAAGAGAGCCUUUUGUUACCGUGCUCUGUUAAAUCCUUCCUGGCAUGUAACCUGCAAACUGUAUUUUGCAAGAUUGGCUCCUAUUGAGUAGAAUCUACUGAUGUCUUCAAAACUUCAACCUGUCAUGUAAUUUCAUAGCUUAUGUGUGAGACAGAAGUUUCCACUUGGUUUUGCUGCCAGUAUUUGUAGUUAUCAUGGGCAUGCCUUGAUAACCAUGAAUUCUAUUCAAAGCAAUUGGAACCAAUUUAUCGAUUGCAUUCUACCAUUUAGUCCUUUUUCUCCACGGUUUGAGUUCCUCUUUGCUCCAAACUAUUUCUUGCUAUAUAGCAAUUUCUUCUUGCUUCCGUAUAGUGAUAUGUGAUCUAUUGAGAACACAUAGCACGUUACAUCAUUAACUUUUUAAAUCAUAUACGUUAGGGAAGUGAGGUGAUAGAAAAAGCUACUAGCAUCAAAUGUUAUAUGCCUGCGUAUUCAAUAUCGCUAUCCACAGUUCACUGCCAUAUGUGACAAGACAACUCAAGAAAUGUAUUCAGUACUGAACCCAACAACCAAUGUAGCCAUGUCAGUUACCUAGCUAUUUCUACUGGUUAUUACUUCUCACUUUCUCUCUGUGCUUGCUCACUGCUCACUUUUCCUCUUCCAGCAAGGGAAGAGCAACAAGAAAGCAUAAAACAUCUCCACGAACUGAGCAAGAAGGAGAGGGAAACAAGAACAACAAACAACCAUCUCUACAAACCAAGCUAUAGAACAACCAAGAUGAAUUUAUACACCAACGAUGCUACAUUCUCAUACAAGGGUAAAGAACCAGCAUAUGGAACAAACCGUCCACUUAGAGCAACCAAGUUUAGCAGACCAAAAGAGAUAUGUCAGCUCCUAGCCGAUGUGAUCUAUCAAAAUGCUGUUGUUAUUUCUGUUGGAGGAGCCGGUGUACCAAUCAAAGAGAAGAUAAUAGCAAUGUUGGCUGUAGUUUCGUGUACUGACACAGAUGAAAUAGCAGUCCUUCUUCCUUUUAGAGAGAAAAAGUACAUUGCUUUGUUCAUGGAUAAUGAAGAAGAAAAGGCUCAUAAAGCUUUUGAGAAAGGCUCAUUUACUUUCCAAACUACUCGGCUGAAAUUUCAACCAUUUAAAACCAAUAUACAUAGCACCAAAAGACCUCUUCGUCAAAGAGUUAUCCUUGCUUUAGAAGGAGUGCCGCCUGAAUCAGUUGCAUGGUUGAAGAAAUAUACGGUCAGCACCAUAUACAAGACCUGACAGUAUCAAGGCUAGCUCCAUGGACGACCGAUAUUGAUCUCAUACCAAAGAUUAUUGAAUGGAACAUAGAAACUAGAGGACCAAUGGAUCCAUCUGAAGUUGACUGGAAUCGUGAUGCUGCUGGCUCUACAAUUUUAGUUCAUAUUGAGAAGCUCUUUGAUUACUUUGAUGAGGACAGUGGUAGCGACACCGAUGGCGAAACACUACGGCAUUAUGAAGAGUCAAGGCCAAGAAAACCAGUCAUCAAACAUUUUCAAUGAACGCAAUCAACAAUUGAUUCAGAUAAUGGACCUAUCGAAGGCGGAUCAAGAUCAGAUGUGAUGCAGCGGCUUCCAACCGAACUCCGUAGGAACAAUAGGUUCUAAUUCACAUCGGUAGAAACAAUCAGUUCUGAUUCACAGCAUUGUAUCGUAUUCUUCCCUUUCUUAGCAGUAUCCUGUAACGUAUUAAGUUCGUGUGCUAUUGUGUGAUACUAUUCUGCUUUGCAGUAGUACUAUCUAUGUAACUAUGUUAGUUCCCGUGCUAAGUGCAUGUGUACCGCGAUAGUUUCUUGCCAUGCUCACAUGUCCCAUGGACUUCUGUUCGUUGAAUUUCUCAAAGUGCUAUCCAUCUGAAUCUAUACAUCGCAUCACCCUUAACACACGAUAGG